GGGCCGAAGAAGCCCUGGAGGGGGAGAGGGGAGCCGCUCUCGACUGGGCUUGCGGCGUGGGAGGGACAGUGAGGGACACUUAGGGACUGUGUGGGGCAGUGAAGGAUAGUGUGGGAUGAUGAGGGACCGUGUGGACCGGUGAGCGACUGUGUGGGACAGUGCGGGACGAUGAGAGACGGUGUGGGACGGUGAGGGACAGUGCGGGACGAUGAGGGACAGUGAGGGACUGUGUAGGACAGUGAGGGACAGUGUGGGACGGUGAGGGACUGUGGGACAGUGAGGGACUUUGGGACUGUGAGGGACUCGGACAGUGAAGGAUGGCAAGGGACAGUGUGGGACAGUAUGGGACAGUGGACAGUGAGGCACUGUGAGGGGCGGUGAGGGACAAUGAAGGAUGUCAAGGGACAGUGUGGGACAGUGGACGGUGAGGUACUGUGAGGGGCGGUGAGGGACAGUGUGGGACUGUGAGGGAUGGCGAGGGACAGAGUAGGACAGCAAGGGAGGAUGAGGGGACAGAGUGGGCCGGCGUGGGGCGGUGAGGCUACGCGGGGGGAACCCAGGGCUCCUCUGACUGCGUUGGAAUAUGGAGGAAAGGUCCUGCUCGAGGUUGAGCCCUUCAGGGUCGCUGUGGGUUUCCAGGAGGAGCUCCCUCACUACUGACUUAGGGGGCCCUCGGCUUCCCAGUGUAAGAAGAAGCUGUCUUUGGAGUGAGAACAAGGGUGAGGUUCUGGCUCAGAAACCUUAGAAUCACAGACACUGUUUUCCUGAAAACAUUGCUUCUUUCUCUCAUCUCAAAGAAAUGCCACAAGUCGUGUGUUUCCCCACUGCGAGCCCUUCGAGAACAAUGUCAUGUUGAUCGAUGGCAGUGACUCACACCAGAUCUUUCCAUGCCUCCUCUGCAAGGACUCAAGAGAGUCGAGAGCAAAACCGUGCCAUAGUUCCAUAAGGAGGGCAAAGAGCUUUAUCCACGCUGAGGAACAGGCGGAUCAUGCGGCUACAGCACUGGUCUUUACCUUUUAACUGCUUGAUUCGAAACAUUCCAGCCAGGAACAGUGGCUCACACCUGUAAUCCCAGCACUUUGUGGGGCCAAGGCAGGUGGAUUGCUCGAGCUCAGGAGUUCGAAACCAGCCUGGGCAACCUGGCAAAACCUCAUCUCUACAAAAAAAUACAAAAAUUAGCCAGGCCUGGUGUGUGUGCCUGUGGUUCCAGCCACUCGGCAGGCUGCGGCCAGAGGAUCACUUGAGCCCAGGAAGUGGAGGCUGCAGUGAGCUGAGAUCGUGCCGCCACACUCCAGCCUGGGUGACAGAGCCAGACAUUGUCUCUAAAAAAAAAAAAAAAAGAAAAGAAAAGAAAGAAAAAAGAGAAAUAGUCCAAGACUAGGGAGAAAACCUUCUUUGGGGUCAGUGUGAACCAUUCUUUCAUUUGUUCAGCAAAUGCUUACUGAGGAGCUACUGUGUCCCUGAAAUUGCCUCCACCUCCAAGAAGACAGUGGUGAGCAAGUCAGACAAUACCUCUAAUCUCAUGGUAUUUAUAAGUAAAUGGGCCGUUAAAAUUACCAGAUCAGAAGUGCUGUGUUCAGCAAAUAGAGGCUCAUGGGAAACUCCUAAGAAGGGCUUCUGAGCUGGACUUGGGGGUCAGGAAAGGCAGAAUGAGGGGGCUGACUCAUCCAGACUGGGGCGGGGUUGCCGGGGGUGCCUCCCACUUACUAUCUGUCUCCUUCUAGACUGACUUCUCUGUCAUCAUGAAUACACCCCUUUAAGACAUACAUUUAAGAGAAAAUAAGAGGAUGCCUUAUUUAUUUAAAGGUUUGUUACAGUUUUACUAACAACCACAUACCUAAAGGAAAGUCGCAAGUAGAGCUCAAAAACUUUUUUCUCUGGGGCAGUGAAGAGUCAGUUGCCAGCCAGAAGGCCCACUGAGCCUGAGCACUUCAGGGUGUGCUUCCUACAGAUAAGGACAUCCUCCUGCAUAACAGGAAAGGGGUCCUGAUCCAGACCCCAAGAGAGGGUUCUUGGAUCUCGCACAAGAAAGAAUUCCGGGUGAG
rnacentral:lncRNA from 1 species